UAUGAUAGAGGCGCGGCUGCCAUGAGUAGCUCCCCGGAUACGCCAGACAGCGUGGGGAAGGAAAGGGAAUGCCGCCGAAGCGACGUAUCUGUUGUCUGACGGUGCGGACGCUGGGCCGACGGAGAAUAUCCGGCGGACUGUCACGGAAACGUGGAGAGCUGUCA
rnacentral:ncRNA from 1 species